rnacentral:piRNA from 1 species
UAUUACAAUAAAAUUUUAAAA